UAUGACUGAACGCCUCUAAGUCAGAAUCCCGCCUAGAUGUGAUGAUAUCGCUGCGCUCGGGCUUUUCGGUUGGACUCGGAUAGCCGGCUUCGGUCGGUGGGUAGUGCCGUUCGUGACAGGGCUGGGGUGCGGCUGAAUGAUGGUCGCCCCUCUCCUACCUCGCAUCGCAUGUUUGUGAACAACUGGGUGUUAAAUCACUUGUAAACGACCUGAUUCUGGGUCAGGGUUUCGUACGUAGCAGAGCAGCUUCAUGACUGCGAUCU
rnacentral:rRNA from 1 species